AUUGAACGCUGGCGGCAGGCCUAACACAUGCAAGUCGAGCGAGCGGCGGACGGGAGAGUAAUGUAUGUGCACUUCCUGAUGGCUGGGGACAACUACUGGAAACUGUAGCUAAUACCGCAUACUAUCGGAUAACCCAUAUGGGAUGAGCUAGUAGGGGAGGUAAUGGCUCACCUAGGCGACGAUCCCUACCUGGUCUGAGAGGAUGAUCAGCCACACUGGGACGUAGACACGGCCCAGACUCAUACGGAGGCAGCAGUGGGGAAUAUUGCACAAUGGGCGCAAGCCUGAUGCAGCCAUGCCGCGUGUAUGAAGAAGGCCCUAGGGUUGUAAAGUACUUUCAGUCGGGAGGCGUUACCGACAGAAGAAGCACCGGCUAACUCCGUGCCAGCAGCCGCGGUAAUUC
rnacentral:rRNA from 1 species